rnacentral:rRNA from 1 species
AACGUAGGUGGCAAGCGUUAUCCGGAAUUACUGGGCGUAAAGGGUGUGCAGGCGGGGAAGCAAGUGGUGUGUGAAAUCUCCCAGCUUAACUGGGAUAGGUUAUGCCAGACUGCUUUUCUAGAGGACGAGAGAGGGGGGUGGAAUUCCGGGUGUAGUGGUGAAAUGCGUAGAGAUCCGGAGGAACCCCAGAGGCGAAGGCGGCCCCCUGGCUCGUACCUGACGCUCAGCCACGAAAGCAUGGGGAGCGAACGGG